rnacentral:rRNA from 1 species
AGCGAACGCUGGCGGCAGGCCUAACACAUGCAAGUCGAACGGAUCCUUCGGGAUUAGUGGCGGACGGGUGAGUAACACGUGGGAACGUGCCUUUUGGUUCGGAACAACUCAGGGAAACUUGAGCUAAUACCGGAUGUGCCCUUCGGGGAAGGAUUAUCGCCAUUAGAGCGGCCCGCCGUCUGAUUAGCUAGUUGGUGGGGGUAAAGGGACCGUACCAACGGACUACGAUCAGUAGCUGGUCUGAGAGGUUGACCA